CGCGUAGGCGGCCUCCGCAAGUCAGUUGUGAAAUCUCCGAGCUUAACUCGGAAAGGUCAACUGAUACUGCGGGGCUAGAGUGCGGAAGGGGCAACUGGAAUUCUUGGUGUAGCGGUGAAAUGCGUAGAUAUCAAGAGGAACACCUGCGGCGAAGGCGGGUUGCUGGGCCGACACUGACGCUGAGGCGCGAAAGCUAGGGGAGCGAACG
rnacentral:rRNA from 1 species